UGCCAGCCGCCGCGGUAAUACGGAGGGUGCAAGCGUUAAUCGGAAUUACUGGGCGUAAAGCGCGCGUAGGCGGUUUGGUCAGUUGGAUGUGAAAGCCCCGGGCUUAACCUGGGAACUGCAUUCAAUACUGCCAGACUAGAGUACGAGAGAGGGGGGUAGAAUUUCUAGUGUAGCGGUGAAAUGCGUAGAUAUUAGAAGGAAUACCAGUGGCGAAGGCGGCCCCCUGGAUUGAUACUGACACUGAGGUGCGAAAGCGUGGGGAGCAAACAGGAUUAGAUA
rnacentral:rRNA from 1 species